ACUGCGAGUGAAGCGGGAAAAGCUCAAAUUUAAAAUCUGGUGGUCCUCUGGCCAUCCGAGUUGUAAUCUAGAGAAGUGUUACCCGCGUUGGACCGUGUACAAGUCUCCUGGAAUGGAGCGUCAUAGAGGGUGAGAAUCCCGUCUUUGACACGGACUACCAAGGCUUUGUGGUGCGCUCUCAACGAGUCGAGUUGUUUGGGAAUGCAGCUCAAAAUGGGUGGUAAAUUCCAUCUAAAGCUAAAUACAGGCGAGAGACCGAUAGCGAACAAGUACCGUGAGGGAAAGAUGAAAAGAACUUUGGAAAGAGAGUUAAACAGUACGUGAAAUUGCUGAAAGGGAAACGCUGGAAGUCAGUCGCGUUGGCUAGGAAUCAACCUUACUCUUUUGUAGGGCUUACUUCUUAGUUGACGGGCCAACAUCAAUUUUGAUUGCUGGAAAAAGGCUUAGGGAAUGUGGCACCUUCGGGUGUGUUAUAGCCCUAGGUCGUAUACAGUGAUUGGGAUUGAGGAACGCAGCACGCCGAAAGGUUGGGUUUCGACCACACUCGUGCUUCGGAUGUUGGCAUAAUGGCUUUCAUCGACCCGUCUUGAAACACGGACCAAGGAGUCUAACAUGCCUGCGAGUGUUUGAGUGGAAAACUCGAGCGCAUAAUGAAAGUAAUAGUUGAGAUCUCUGUCAUGGAGAGCAUCGACGCCCGGACCUGAUGUUUACUGACGGUUCUGCGGUAGAGCAUGUAUGUUGGGACCCGAAAGAUGGUGAACUAUGCCUGAAUAGGGUGAAGCCAGAGGAAACUCUGGUGGAGGCUCGUAGCGAUUCUGACGUGCAAAUCGAUCGUCAAAUUUGGGUAUAGG
rnacentral:rRNA from 1 species